rnacentral:rRNA from 1 species
GAUGAACGCUAACGGCAGGCCUAAUACAUGCAAGCCGAACGGCAAGAUUUUCAGCAAUGGAAAUCCUAGAGUGGCGUAAGGGUGCGUAACACGUAUGCAAUCUGCCCUCAACAGGAGGAUAGCUCCCCGAAAGGGGAAUUAAGACUCCAUAAGAUCUUAGAGUGGCAUCACUUAGAGAUUAAACUACCAGGGGUUGAGGAUGAGCAUGCGCAUGANAGUUAGUUGGCGGGGUAACGGCCCACCAAGACGAUGAUCAUUAGGGGAAC